UUGACGCAGGUGAGGAGACAUGAGUUUAUGGGUAAUUUGCGCCUGAGGCAUUUCUGUGAUGUCACUUUUUUCACCUUGGAGAUCUCAUCCAUCUU
rfam:Triticum aestivum genome assembly, contig: Triticum_aestivum_CS42_TGACv1_scaffold_393892_5AS